GCUUGCUGGGGGGAUUAGUGGCGAACGGGUGAGUAACACGUGAGUAACCUGCCCUUAACUCUGGGAUAAGCCUGGGAAACUGGGUCUAAUACUGGAUAUUGACUUUACCUCGCAUGGGGUUUGGUUGAAAGAUUUAUUGGUUUUGGAUGGACUCGCGGCCUAUCAGCUUGUUGGUGAGGUAAUGGCUCACCAAGGCGACGACGGGUAGCCGGCCUGAGAGGGUGACCGGCCACACUGGGGCUGAGACACGGCCCAGACUCCUACGGGAGGCAGCAGUGGGGAAUAUUGCACAAUGGGCGAAAGCCUGAUGCAGCGACGCCGCGUGAGGGAUGACGGCCUUCGGGUUGUAAACCUCUUUCAGUAGGGAACAAGGCCAAUGUUUAGUUGGUUGAGGGUACUUGCAGAAGAAGCACCGGCUAACUACGUGCCAGCAGCCGCGGUAAUACGUAGGGUGCAAGCGUUAUCCGGAAUUAUUGGGCGUAAAGAGCUCGUAGGCGGUUUGUCGCGUCUGCCGUGAAAGUCCGGGGCUCAACCCCGGAUCUGCGGUGGGUACGGGCAGACUAGAGUGAUGUAGGGGAGACUGGAAUUCCUGGUGUAGCGGUGAAAUGCGCAGAUAUCAGGAGGAACACCGAUGGCGAAGGCAGGUCUCUGGGCAUUAACUGACG
rnacentral:rRNA from 1 species